rnacentral:rRNA from 1 species
CGGGACGGGUGAGUAAUGUCUGGGAAACUGCCCGAUGGAGGGGGAUAACUACUGGAAACAGUAGCUAAUACCGCAUAACGUCGCAAGACCAAAGAGGGGACCUUCGGGCCUCUUGCCAUCGGAUGUGCCCAGAUGGGAUUAGCUAGUAGGUGGGGUAACGGCUCACCUAGGCGACGAUCCCCAGCUGGUCUGAGAGGAUGACCAGCCACACUGGAACUGAGACACGGUCCAG